AAUUCAUAAUAGCUCUGGGAACCAUCAAGAGAGCCGACAUUUUGAGGAAGACAUCAAAGAGAGACAACAGCUGGUGACCGGGGAUCCCAGGGCUCUGGGAGGGAAUUGGAGAA